UAGGGAAUCUUCGGCAAUGGACGGAAGUCUGACCGAGCAACGCCGCGUGAGUGAAGAAGGUUUUCGGAUCGUAAAGCUCUGUUGUUAGAGAAGAACGUUGGUAGGAGUGGAAAAUCUACCAAGUGACGGUAACUAACCAGAAAGGGACGGCUAACUACGUGCCAGCAGCCGCGGUAAUACGUAGGUCCCGAGCGUUGUCCGGAUUUUUUGGGCGUAAAGCGAGCGCAGGCGGUUCUGUAAGUCUGAAGUUAAAGGCAGUGGCUUAACCAUUGUACGCUUUGGAAACGGGAGGACUUGAGUGCAGAAGGGGAGAGGGGAAUUCCAUGUGUAGCGGUGAAAUGCGUAGAUAUAUGGAGGAACACCGGUGGAGAAAGCGGCUCUCUGGUCUGUAACUGACGCUGAGGCAAGAAAGCGUGGGGAGCAAACAGG
rnacentral:rRNA from 1 species